GCAAGCUGAAAGCAACCAGAGGAGCUCAGAGGUGUUGCUCCUGGAUGCAGCUCCUGGGCUCUGAGCUGACAAAGGCAAGUUCUUGCUCAUGGAAAGGUGGGGCAGAGGACAGGGAUACUGCUCAGGGGUAAUUCUGAGUGGCUUAGAGGAGACUAUGCCGGCUGGGAACCAAACAGUACCUGCCUCGGAGCAAGCAUUUAGUGGGCAGAAAACGGUGAGGAUGCUGAAUUCGGAUAGCAGCGAGCUCACAAGGGCAGCAGGCUUUGCAACACCUCGCUGGAUGUCACCAGAUGUCACCAGAUGUCACCAGACAGAUGCACAAGGCUGGGCAUGGCACAGGGCAGUGCCUGUCAUCAAGGCAGAGCAGAGUGGAGAAGCUCCUCUCCCACACUGCCCGGCAUGCUGCUGGUCUCACUAUGUUGUCCAGGCUGGUCUUCAGGUUCUGGACUCAAGCCAUCCUCCUGCCUCAGGCCUUCAAGUGGCUGGGACUAUAGAUAUGGCACCGCUGCUUCUGACUCCCAAGGAAUUUCUUCAUCAGCAAUAAAGAAAAGAAGAUUCGAGAUGUAAGAAAAUAAUUAUUAUAAAUAUGGAUGAACAAACAUGUCUGAAAGUGCAUAUGAGACGCCCUGGAGUUACACAGGCUCAGAAUCUGGCCUUGGCUGUACAGAACCUCAAAUUCUAAUGCUAGGUCAAAAAAAAAAAAAAAAGUAUAAACUGUGAAUAUUCUGCAUAGGCUCCCACCUCAUUGAUAUGUCUGUCUCAAAACUGUUUAUGGUUAACAUUAAUUAAACUACAGUAUCUAUACAUUUGAAAUGGACUGGUAAUCAAACAUAGAUGAAAUCAUGUUAUAAAGAGACAAAAUGAGAGUAUUAGACAUAAAUAAAACUUAAAUGAAAGCAUGGGCUUGGCAUUUAGCUCAGUGGUUUUGCCACCUGCCUUGCAAGUGCAAGGUCCCGAGUUCGAUCCCCAGUACCAAAAAAAAUGUUAAAUGAAAACAGAUUCAUACAAGGGAAGGAACUUUUCAUCUAACUUGAUUUUGUCUCUGUACUCUGGUUUUCAGGAAUAUAUGAGGCAACAG
rnacentral:lncRNA from 1 species